rnacentral:rRNA from 1 species
UACGUAGGGGGCAAGCGUUGUCCGGAGUCAUUGGGCGUAAAGCGCGUGUAGGCGGCUCGAUAAGUCUGCUGUGAAAGUUCAGGGCUCAACCCUGAAAUGCCGGUGGAAACUGUCGGGCUAGAGUCCGGAAGAGGCGAGUGGAGUUCCUGGUGUAGCGGUGAAAUGCGCAGAUAUCAGGAGGAACACCAAUGGCGAAGGCAGCUCGCUGGGACGGUACUGACGCUGAGACGCGAAAGCGUGGGGAGCAAAC